rnacentral:rRNA from 1 species
CGGGUGAGUAAUGUAUCGGAACGUGCCUAGUAGCGGGGGAUAACUACGCGAAAGCGUAGCUAAUACCGCAUACGCCCUACGGGGGAAAGCAGGGGAUCGCAAGACCUUGCACUAUUAGAGCGGCCGAUAUCGGAUUAGCUAGUUGGUGGGGUAAUGGCUCACCAAGGCGACGAUCCGUAGCUGGUUUGAGAGGACGACCAGCCACACUGGGACUGAGACACGGCCCAGACUCCUACGGGAGGCAGCAGUGGGGAAUUUUGGACAAUGGGGGAAACCCUGAUCCAGCCAUCCCGCGUGUGCGAUGAAGGCCUUCGGGUUGUAAAGCACUUUUGGCAGGAAAGAAACGUCAUGGGUUAAUACCCCGUGAAACUGACGGUACCUGCAGAAUAAGCACCGGCUAACUACGUGCCAGCAGCCGCGGUAAUACGUAGGGUGCAAGCGUUAAUCGGAAUUACUGGGCGUAAAGCGUGCGCAGGCGGUUCGGAAAGAAAGAUGUGAAAUCCCAGAGCUUAACUUUGGAACUGCAUUUUUAACUACCGGGCUAGAGUGUGUCAGAGGGAGGUGGAAUUCC